UACAGGGGUCUCAAGCGUUGUUCGGAUUCAUUGGGCGUAAAGGGUGCGUAGGCGGCGCGGUAAGUCGGGUGUGAAAUCUCGGAGCUCAACUCUGAAACUGCACUCGAUACUGCUUUGCUAGAGGACUGGAGAGGAGAUUGGAAUUCACGGUGUAGCAGUGAAAUGCGUAGAGAUCGUGAGGAAGACCAGUGGCGAAGGCGGAUCUCUGGACAGUUCCUGACGCUGAGGCGCGAAGGCCAGGGGGGCAAACGGG
rnacentral:rRNA from 1 species